rnacentral:rRNA from 1 species
UGGGGAAUAUUGCACAAUGGGCGCAAGCCUGAUGCAGCCAUGCCGCGUGUAUGAAGAAGGCCUUCGGGUUGUAAAGUACUUUCAGCGAGGAGGAAGGCGGUAAGGUUAAUAGCCUUAUCGAUUGACGUUACUCGCAGAAGAAGCACCGGCUAACUCCGUGCCAGCAGCCGCGGUAAUACGGAGGGUGCAAGCGUUAAUCGGAAUUACUGGGCGUAAAGCGCACGCAGGCGGUUUGUCAAGUCGGAUGUGAAAUCCCCGGGCUCAACCUGGGAACUGCAUUCGAAACUGGCAGGCUAGAGUCUUGUAGAGGGGGGUAGAAUUCCAGGUGUAGCGGUGAAAUGCGUAGAGAUCUGGAGGAAUACCGGUGGCGAAGGCGGCCCCCUGGACAAAGACUGACGCUCAGGUGCGAAAGCGUGGGGAGCAAACA